AUUCCAGCUCCAAUAGCGUAUAUUAAAGUUGUUGCGGUAAAAAAGCUCGUAGUUGGAUUUCUGUUGAGGGCGACCGGUCCAUACAACGUAUGCGUAUCUGGCUCGGCCUCGGCAUCCUCUCGAUAGACGUUUCUGCGCUUGAUUGCGUGGAGCGGAUCUCGGGACUUUUACUUUGAGGAAAUUAGAGUGUUCACGGCAGGCUAUCGCCAGAAUACAUUAGCAUGGAAUAAUACUAUAGGAUCUUGAUUCUAUUUUGUUGGUUUCUAGAAUUGAGAUAAUGAUUAAUAGGGACAAUUGGGGGCAUUCGUAUCAACACGUCAGAGGUGGAAUUCUUGGAUUGUGUUGCGACGAUCUACUGCGAAAGCAUUUGCCAAGGAUGUUUUCAUCA
rnacentral:rRNA from 1 species